rnacentral:rRNA from 1 species
UGGGAAUUUUGGACAAUGGGCGCAAGCCUGAUCCAGCCAUGCCGCGUGCGGGAAGAAGGCCUUCGGGUUGUAAACCGCUUUUGUCAGGGAAGAAAUCUUCUGAGUUAAUACCUCGGGAGGAUGACGGUACCUGAAGAAUAAGCACCGGCUAACUACGUGCCAGCAGCCGCGGUAAUACGUAGGGUGCAAGCGUUAAUCGGAAUUACUGGGCGUAAAGCGUGCGCAGGCGGUUUUGUAAGACAGAGGUGAAAUCCCCGGGCUCAACCUGGGAACUGCCUUUGUGACUGCAAGGCUUGAGUGCGGCAGAGGGGGAUGGAAUUCCGCGUGUAGCAGUGAAAUGCGUAGAUAUGCGGAGGAACACCGAUGGCGAAGGCAAUCCCCUGGGCCUGCACUGACGCUCAUGCACGAAAGCGUGGGGAGCAAACAGGAUUAGAUAGCCCUGGUAGUCCACGCCCUAAAACGAUGUCAACUGGUUGUUGGGAAGGUUCCUUCUCAGUAACGUAGCUAACGCGUGAAGUUGACCGCCUGGGGAGUACGGCCGCAAGGUUG